GCUAGUUUGCCUAAGAGGUUAAGGGGGAAGAUUUAAUAUCUUUUGCACAUAAGUGUGUGCGGGUUUGAACCCCACAACUAGAA
rnacentral:tRNA from 1 species